rnacentral:rRNA from 1 species
GAACGUACGCUCGUAGUGUGGAAUAACAGUUAGAAAUAGCUGCUAAUACCGCAUAAUGCAACUAAGUCGCAUGGCUUUGGUUGCCAAAGAUUUAUCGCUCUAAGAUGGCCUCGCGUCUGAUUAGAUAGUUGGCGGGGUAACGGCCCACCAAGUCGACGAUCAGUAGCCGGACUGAGAGGUUGGCCGGCCACAUUGGGACUGAGACACGGCCCAGACUCCUACGGAAGGCAGCAG